rnacentral:rRNA from 1 species
UACGUAGGGGGCAAGCGUUGUCCGGAAUUACUGGGCGUAAAGGGCGUGUAGGCGGCCAACUAAGUCCGACGUGAAAUCCCCAGGCUUAACCUGGGAACUGCGUCGGAUACUGGAUGGCUUGAAUCCGGGAGAGGGAUGCAGAAUUCCAGGUGUAGCGGUGAAAUGCGUAGAUAUCUGGAGGAAUACCGGUGGCGAAGGCGGCAUCCUGGACCGGCAUUGACGCUGAAGCGCGAAAGCUAGGGGAGCAAACGGG